GCCCCCAUAGUAUAAUC
rnacentral:tRNA from 1 species